GUCGUGAGAUGUUGGGUUAAGUCCCGCAACGAGCGCAACCCCUGUCGCAUGUUGCCAGCAUUUAGUUGGGGACUCAUGCGAGACUGCCGGUGACAAACCGGAGGAAGGUGGGGAUGACGUCAAGUCAUCAUGCCCCUUAUAUCCAGGGCUACACACGUGCUACAUUGGCGCAUACAAAGGGCAGCGAUACCGCGAGGUGGAGCGAAUCCCAAAAAGUGCGUCUCGGUUCGGAUUGGAGGCUGAAACUCGCCUCCAUGAAGGCGGAGUUGCUAGUAAUCCCGGAUCAGCAACGCCGGGGUGAAUACGUUCCCGGGCCUUGUACACACCGCCCGUCACACCACGAAAGCGGGCAACACCCGAAGCCGGUGGCCUAACCCUUACGGGAGGGAGCCGUCGAAGGUGGGGCUCGUGAUUGGGGUGAAGUCGUAACAAGGUAGCCGUACCGGAAGGUGCGGCUGGAUCACCUCCUUUCUAGGGAGCUCUCAACACGAGAGUCACGCCGUGCCGCCCUCGAGGCGCUGCGGCGUUCCUAGCAUGUCGACCGGACCUGGUCGAUACCACACACGCUGUUGAGUUUUGAGAGACCGGCCGCGCCGGCCUUCUCCCGCAACGGGGAGGGUCCGCGCGGCUUCGUGCCCUCUCGCCGGACCUUGAAAACUGCACAGUUGGCCAAAUCAAUUCGGGUAUCACCGACCGGGCGUUCGCGUCCGGUCAGAUCACCGUCAAGAUAAUAAGGGCACACGGUGGAUGCCUUGGCACCAGGAGUCGAUGAAGGGCGUGGACGACUGCGAUAAGCCACGGUGAGGCGUUGAACGGCCUUUGACCCGUGGAUUC
rnacentral:sRNA from 1 species